CGACGCACUGGAAUUGCCAUGGCAACAAACAGCUCCGACUUCCGCUUGGAUGGACAACGGACUCGUUUCAUUGGAUAAAAUUACGAAGAUUUAAUUGCUUCCAACUUUUUAAUUAUCAAUUUUCCGGGAAAAUAAAAGCAGUUUUCUUCAUCAGCGAGUAAGACUACACCAAAAGUACGUUUUCUGAAUAUUUUCAGGCUAAAGUUUGACAACAUAUGAAGAAAUUAAAAGAUCCGCUCUGAAUAAUAAAUAAUUAUCUUUGAGAACCAUCGCACCAUUCUCAGCAGGUUCUCUCUUGUUGCUGCUAAGGUAUAUUCAUCCGUGUCCGUUUUAUUCAACUGAGCAAUCAGAGAAUUAAGGGCGACUAUAUAUCUCCCCCGGGUAUCUCUUCUGUAAGUCGCGUAUUUUAUGUUCAUUCAUUCAAUUUUUACGAUUCCCUUUUUAUCUUCAUUUCCUAAAAUUUGUUUAAAGCUCCGUGGAUCAACAGCGACGCACUGGAAUUGCCAUGGCAACAAACAGCUCCGACUUCCGCUUGGAUGGACUAGUCGCGACUAGUCGAUCCUUACUUUGUAUUUUUGUGUGUUAGUUACUUUGUUUAAAAAAUUAUUUAUUUUGUGUUUUAUAUUCUUUGCUACGAUCGACAAGUCACGACUAGCUAGCGCGAGUGCGCGCACCGGGACCCCUGUUCUUAAAUAGUACCACUCUGCCUAAACCCAGGAAUUACUCAAAACCCAUCUACUCAGUCCAAAACCAUUUAUGUUACUCGAUAAGUUCCACUUUAUAAUUGAGAUUCAAUUUGGAGACCGAAAUAAAUAUUCAUGAUUUGUAAUUAACUGUAUAAAACAGUGGUUUUCAACCAGGGUUCCACGGAACCUUAGGGUUCCGCCAGUACAGUCCAGGGGUUCCGCAAGAAGUUACAAAACUGCUAAAAUCGGCAGUAAUUUUUAAGUCUCCUGUGCAGAUAUUUGUGCAUAAGACUAUUAAAUUAUUGCACAGGGGUUCCUCGGACCAGUGGAAUGUUUCCUUGGGGUUCCUCGAGUCAGUGGAAUGUUUCCUUGGGUUCCGCUCCAGCAAAAAGUUUGAAAAGCACUGGCAUAAAACAGCGUUUAAACCACAGAGCAUGUUGUGGCAUAUUCUACACAGGGUCCUAUAUAAAUUAAUUAAUACUAGCAGUAUCGCCCUGAAUUGCUCGGGGUUUGUUUCGACCCCUUUAGAAUUGGAAUUUUCGAAAAAUAAAAAUUUUGCAUUACAUAGCUUGUUUCGAUUUACGUACAUCUUUUGAGUUUGAUACAUUCAAUAAGAUAAAAAGGGGGCGGGAGAAAAUGGACCCUGGAAACCACUGAUAAAGAUCAUUCUCCGAAGUACCCUGGGUACGGUCAGCUGAUGAACAUCACAACCCACUGGGGUAGGUUUAUCAACGAAAAGUACCUUAGUUGAAUUAGGCGUUGCUAAAUGAAACUUGGUAACCCACGAUUCAUUCUUUAUUAAUUGGUUCUCCUAGAAUUUGUUGCUUCUCCAUCGAAAACUAUUUACAAACUGACGAUAUUUAUUUAUUUCGUCUGUCGUUACGUUCCGAGUUCAAAUUCCGCCGAGGUCGAUUUUGCCUUUCAUCCUUUCGGGGUCGAUAAAUUAAGUACCAGUUAUGCACUGGGAUCGAUAUAAUCGACUUAAUCCCUUUGUCUGUCCUUGUUUGUCCCCUCUGUGUUUAGCCCCUUGUGGGUAGUAAAGAAAUAGAAAUAGGUAUUUAUUUAGUGUAGCAGUUUGUUGAUAUCAUACGAUGCUGUUUUCAUUGUUAAUCAAAUGUCAGUCCAUUUUAGAAUUACAUUAACAUAAAUUAUGUUAAUUUUUAUUAAUUUUGUUACUCUUUUACUUGUUUCAGUCAGUUGACUGCGGCCAUGCUGCAGCACCGCCUUUAAUCGAGCGAAUCGACCCCGGGACUUAUUCUUUUUGUAAGCCCAGUACUUAUUCUAUCAGCUCUUUUGCCGAACUGCUAAGUAACGGGGGACGGUUGUCAAGCAAUGCUAGAGGGACAAACACACACACGCAUAUAUAUAUAUAUAUAUAUAUAUAUAUAUAUAUAUAUAUAUAUAUAUAUAUACGACGGGCUUCUUUCAGUUUCCGUCUACCAAAUCCACUCACAAGGCUUUGGUCGGCCCAGGGCUAUAGUAGAAGACACUUGCCCAAGGUGCCACGCAGUGGGACUGAACCCGGAACCAUGUGGUUGGUAAACAAGUUACUUACCACACAGCCACUCCUGCGCCUAUGUUAGUGAAUUAUUCUGAUAAAUCUCAUGUAUUUUGAAUCGCGUUAUAAUGCUAUAACACGUGUAUCUAACUUUUUGGCAUUUAAACUCGUCAUAGCAGGCCAAAAUAUGUUUUAUGUUCAAACUGAACGAAUUCCAAAAGACUAUUAAAUUUCAUUCAAUUUUAAAAAUUGGUAAAAUCGGACAGAACUUAUGGGAAUCACCUGAUUUAAUAUUCCAGCUAAGGAUACAAUUUCAAAUAAAAUAUUUAGAUUUAGAAAUUAUUAGCUUUUAUUAAAACUAAAAAUUUGGGAUCUUUUCGGUUUGAACGGCAAUUUUUAAAAAUAAUUUCCACGUAGGUGGCACAUAAAAACCACCCACUACACUCGCGGAGUGGUUGGCGUUAGGAAGGGCACCCAGCUGUAGAAACACUGCCAGAUCAGACUGGAGCCUGAUGCAACCCCUGGCUUCCCAGACCCCGGUCGAAUCGUCCAACCCGUGCUAGCGCAGAAAAUGGACGUUAAACGAUGAUGAUGAUGUAACUAAACACUUUUAAACUUCGUAUACUGGUAGAAUGUGUUUAUAAAACAUCUUUUUCUCUUGGCUUUAUUGAGAAAAUUCUAUAGUUUGUAAGAUAUUUGUUGUUGUUUUUCCUUCAAUUUCUGCAAUUUCAACCAAUCACUGACGUCUAUUGAGGUAAAAAAAAACAUUCUGUGCCGUAUGAAUAUAUCGCUCGUUUAAGAAACAGAUUGGAUUUAUUUACAUUUGUGAAGAAAAAAAGAUAACCUUCCCCCACCCCUAACCCUAAAACAGAUUGAAAUGCAAUAGAUCGAUACUAGGGUUAUAAUUAUGGGUGACAAUUUCAUAUGACACAGCUAGAAAAAACUGCCGGUCAAACAGAAAAGAUCCCAAAUUUGUUAUUGUUUGUUACUUCUAUUAAAACUUUAAAAAAUAACUCAAAAUAUUUUUUGCACUUUAAAAAAAUUCGUUUUUGUAAUUAUUAAUUAAUAAUUAGAAAUUUGAAAAUAAGUUAUAAGAAAUAAUAGUCUGUAAUUAGUUAGUACAAUAAAUAGAAUAAUACAAGUUAUUAUAUUACAAUAACUUCAACAUAAUUUCUUUUUCUCAACAGGCCCUGCGCUGUUUAACAUUGUCCCGAAAGAGAUCAAAGAGGAAAAGGAUCCCAUCAACUUUAAACGGAGUCUGGACAGAUUUCUUCAAGGAAUACCAGAUAAGCCACCCAUACCUGGAUACAACUCAAUCAACAAGAACUCACUACUUGAAUGGACCAUAAACAAAACUUGAUUUAAACAGGAUUUAGAUAAUCCUAUCAGGUGGUGCUAUUAAGUUAGACAUGACCUGGACCAAUCUUUGGUCGAAACAUAUCUAAGUUUAUAUAUAUAUAUAUAUAUAUAUAUAUAUAUAUGCUUUAUUUAAAGCAGCAGAAAAUUCAACAAAACCUGUUACUCUGAGUUUCACAUUCCCGUUUGUCG
rnacentral:lncRNA from 1 species